rnacentral:lncRNA from 1 species
GUGACCUCCACAGUGCUGCAGAACUUACUGACUCAUUAGUGCACUGAAUUUCAUGGAUUUACAAGCAUCUGCUGUCUUCUGUUAGACCACAGUGCCAUCAAGUGGAUUCUCUAGUGAAUAAAUCAAAUGUAUAUGAAACGUCUUUGAUUCUACAUUGUCAGUAGGAGGAGCUAGAGUAUUAAACUCAGGAUUUGAUUAUGAAUCCUCAGGAUAAAACAUGAUACUACCAUGAAGAUCAUAGCCAGUUGAUGCUGCACUUUUCAUCAGCAGUUGGUGUUUCUUCUACACAUCCUGAAAUCUACAAUGUUGUUCUGUUCACUAUUACUCUUCUUUGACUUGAUAGGUGUCAGUUCGGGAGAGGAAUUAAUGCCCUACACUGAUGUAGAAGUGGCUUCAGAAAGGGACAGAGUUACUCUCUCUUGUAACUACACCUCUGUUAAUACUCUUCUAUGGUAUCGACAAUAUCCCAAAUCAGCACCACAGUUACUGGUUAUGGAGUACGCAGAUGUUACACCAGGGUUCACUCUAAAUCAUGACAAAAAUGCCAAACGUACGGAUCUGAAGAUCUCCUCUGCUGAAGUGACAGACUCUGCUAUGUACUUCUGUGCUCUGAGGCCCACAGUGACAGGAAACCCAGAAACACUGUACAAAAACCUAACAUCGCCUGAGAGAACAUUUCUGCUCUGUAGUUGAAGGUUUUAUUUGACAAUAAUGCCAUCAAGUGGAGUCAACAUGCACCCAUUAUAUUAUGUCAAGAGGAGGAACAUAGUGUUAUACAUAACAUGUCAUGAGUGGAACUGAUUCAACCAGAGAGUGAAUGUUCCAAGAGAAGAUCAUUAGAGAAGUCUCUGUCUAACACCCAGUGACUAUGAUGCUGCUCUAUUCAGUCUUUAUUAUGUGCACUUGUAGGUAAGAAUUCACUCUCCAUUUACCGAAUGUGUACUAACAGAAUGUACACUGUUAAGUAUUCAUUACAAUACAGUAUUAUCAAUAUCAAGAGGUAAUACACUUUUAAACAAAAAGUGUGGAUAUACUGUGCACUGU